UGCUGCGUAAUUUAUACCGUGAAAAGUGUGUUAAACUGUCCAAAUGUUAAUAAACACGUGAAAAAAUGAUAACAUUCGGCGGUGCGAACACCUCCACGGCUGCGGAGGACACAGGCGAAGUGAGAAGCAUCUGCGAGAGUGUGUGCAGUGAUGGAUCUAACGCGACGGUGCAGCCCGGGGCGUCCAACCAGCGACCUCGGAUGGACAUCGCCUGUGUUUUGGACGUUACCCAAACUUCCAACCUAACACACAGAAAA